rnacentral:lncRNA from 1 species
GUCUACAACCCCACCACCACAGAGAUAAGAAGAUCACCAACUAAGACUGAGGAGUUGAAUACAGAAGAGAGGAGAAGAUGCGAGAUAGCCAGCAUCUGGGACUUUGACUCUGAUCAAAGAAAGAUCUGAUAAAAAAGACGGCAGAAAAGGAUGGAACUGAUUCAUUUUGGCUACCUAAACGCCCAAAGCAUCUCGUCUCUGGGCUUUUCUAAGCCUACAUCUACAGCUUCCUGUCGUCUCUGUGAAUUAGCCACUAGCCUGCCAAUAAACCCCUUUUCUGUUAAAGAUAGCCAGAAUUGGUUCCUGA